AGACCCAUUUUGUUCCAGCCGCACACACAUUCACCCUAUCUUCUCUCUGUACUCUCCAUUGAAGCACAUCUCAAUCACCUAAAAGACAAAUACCCCCUAACGAUUCAUUGAGGUAUCAUCCUUCAAACCUUUUACGUCAUCCUUCCUUUGCUAAUCUGCUAAUAAUCUUCUAUUUGAAACCCUAGCGCGCGCACACACUCACACUCUCUCUCUCGACUUUCUUCGGCCAUGUCAUCCCGGCGGCUCAUCGCCAACCUCCUCUGCUCCAACCUCCAUUGUUCCCCGUCUGGAUCUCCGUUCACUCACCCAUAGAUAAACAGAGAGAGAAACAAACCCACCCCCAAAAAUCAUUCCUUUUGAAGAUCUUGAUCGACAAAAACGGUGUGUGUUGUUGGUGUGUGUAAACUACAAUUGGGUUUGCCAUUGUUACCGGUAAAGAAUCAAGAUUUUUACAAAUAUGCAAAAGAAAAGAAAAGAUGGAGGAAGUUCGAUAAAGCUCCUGAUCCUUAUAAGCUCCCUACGGUCUGCAGGAAUAAACAUAAGCAGCCUCGGAUUUGGAAGGAUGUUAGUCAUGUUAAAGGGUGGAAUGUCACAAGGCCUCAAGAGUUUGAAGCAGUGAAGCGUGAUAGGGUCUUCAAGUUCAAGAAUAUUAUGAUUGGUUGUGACAAAUCAAUCAUGGUAACUCUGUAAUAUGAUGACAAAUUGAAAAGAUGGCCCAGAAAGUUCUUUUCAGGUUAAUUCAUAGAUCCUAUGGAUAUCAACAGCUUGCUUACCAAAGAAUGUGAUGAAACUUCUUCAAGCCAUCGUGUAACUUCUUCACUAAAGCUUCCCAAUUGGCUCGAUGAUUUCUUGACGAAAACGGUUUAUCAUACUAUGGCAGAAGUCAAUGAAACUGAUCAAACCCCCACCGUUGAUCCCAAAACCCCAAACCUAGGCGAUUCAACAACAUCAUCCCAACCAAAGCCCAAACAAAUCACAACAAUGAAUGUUGCGGUCCCCAUCCCCGAUGUGGGACCGCAACUUCAAGUUGUGGUGGAAGAGUUUAUUCUAAAAAGCGGCUCGGACGAUGAGGAAGUGCGUACAGCCGCGAGGAAUGAUCUGAGAGAUUUUAUUGAGCGCGAAGAGAUAGGGAUUACGACGUUGCUGGUUGUGGUUAAGUAUGCUCAUGAGGUUAAGAGUGCUGAUUUGUUGGAUGCUUUUUGUGAAAGGGUGGCAGAUUUGAUCAAGGACAAGAAGGUGGUGGAGGUUAGACAGAUUUUUGGUAUAGUUAAUGAUUUUACACCAGAGGAAGAACAGGCUCUUCGUGAUGAGCAUCCUUGGGCUUUUGAAGAUUAGGGUUUUGGUUGAAUGUUGGUGGUUUAAUUAUAGCUUUUUUGGUUGUUAUGAAAAUAUUAGGGUUUAUGUGUUUUUACUGUUUAUUGGGUUUGAUUUACUCUAUUCUUGAUGAACAUCUAUGGGGUUUUGAAGAUUAAGGUUUUGGUUGAA